CAGUCGAGCGAGCUUGCCUAGAUGAUUUUAGUGCUUGCACUAAAUGAAACUAGAUACAAGCGAGCGGCGGACGGGUGAGUAACACGUGGGUAACCUGCCCAAGAGACUGGGAUAACACCUGGAAACAGAUGCUAAUACCGGAUAACAACACUAGACGCAUGUCUAGAGUUUGAAAGAUGGUUCUGCUAUCACUCUUGGAUGGACCUGCGGUGCAUUAGCUAGUUGGUAAGGUAACGGCUUACCAAGGCAAUGAUGCAUAGCCGAGUUGAGAGACUGAUCGGCCACAUUGGGACUGAGACACGGCCCAAACUCCUACGGGAGGCAGCAGUAGGGAAUCUUCCACAAUGGACGAAAGUCUGAUGGAGCAACGCCGCGUGAGUGAAGAAGGGUUUCGGCUCGUAAAGCUCUGUUGGUAGUGAAGAAAGAUAGAGGUAGUAACUGGCCUUUAUUUGACGGUAAUUACUUAGAAAGUCACGGCUAACUACGUGCCAGCAGCCGCGGUAAUACGUAGGUGGCAAGCGUUGUCCGGAUUUAUUGGGCGUAAAGCGAGUGCAGGCGGUUCAAUAAGUCUGAUGUGAAAGCCUUCGGCUCAACCGGAGAAUUGCAUCAGAAACUGUUGAACUUGAGUGCAGAAGAGGAGAGUGGAACUCCAUGUGUAGCGGUGGAAUGCGUAGAUAUAUGGAAGAACACCAGUGGCGAAGGCGGCUCUCUGGUCUGCAACUGACGCUGAGGCUCGAAAGCAUGGGUAGCGAACAGGAUUAGAUACCCUGGU
rnacentral:rRNA from 1 species